GUUUCCGUAGGUGAACCUGCGGAAGGAUCAUUCAUAAUAAAGUGUUUUAUGGCACUUUUUAAAAAUCCAUAUCCACCUUGUGUGCAAUGUUAGAUCUCGUCAAUCUUGGCGAGAUUUUUAUACAUCAACUCAUUCUUUAACUAAUUUGUCUGAAAAAUAUUAUGAAUACUUAAUUCAAAAUACAACUUUCAACAACGGAUCUCUUGGCUCCC
rnacentral:misc_RNA from 1 species